rnacentral:lncRNA from 1 species
UCUCAGACAACACCCCUGACUUUCAUUGGGGAUUAGAUUUCUAUAGUCAGACGUGCAAAGCGUCUCUAGUAACACAACUUUCACAUACUCGAUCAUCUAACCUCGCUUGAUCAAUCCUUUGAUGGCAUCCUUCAGUUUGAUGUAGUUUUCGAUGUUGUGGUUGUGGCCUUUAUAGAGGCGGCAGUACUUUGACUUGUCAGACCAGGGUGUCUCUCUGAAGGGAUAAGGGGGUCGGAUUUCUCCUUUUUGAAACUAUAUGUUGGUCCAUUCCUG